CACCAAAAAGAAGAAGACUAAUUGUUCACAACAUGUCACAACAGCAAUUUUAAUAUUUUUACAAGAAUUACAAGAUAAAAAAAAGAUAACAGACUGGUAAUUGAUGAUGUGAUACCGAUUUCUUUAAAAUAAUAACAGAAUGACGAAGAGCCAGUUGUCUUUUAGGCUUCGACAAAAUGCACCGCAACAAACUCGUAGGGAAUCCCGCGAUAAAAGUCACAAAAAACCUCAAAAACCACCACCAAAUAAACCAGUAGAAGUUUCAACCAGUACCAGUCCCGGCUUAAUAUUUCCAGCAAGCGAUACAGCCUUUAAAACACUUCUAUCAGCAAGAUUUUGUGCUGCAAUAUGGUCACACAUAUCAGAUUGUGAUGAAACUUUCAAUUACUGGGAACCUAUGCAUUACUUAAUUUUUGGUAAAGGCCUGCAAACAUGGGAAUACAGUCCUCAGUUUGGGCUGAGAUCUUACUUUUACUUAAUGCUACAUGCAGCACCUGCUUGGAUAUAUCAUAAAUUGGUACAGCCCAAUCCUUUACUAAUGUUCUAUUUUGUUAGGUGCAUAUUAGGAGUCAUAUGUGCCAGUUGUGAAGUUUAUUUUUAUAAGUCAGUUUGUAGAGAAUUUGGAGUUCACAUUGGUAGAAUAUGUCUGGCAUUUCAGUUGUUCUCAGCUGGAAUGUUUAUUUCUAGUACAUCAUUUUUGCCAUCCAGUUUUGCCAUGUAUACAUUUGCAGCAGCAUGUGCGUCGUGGUGGCAGCAAAAGUAUGCCUUAGCGAUAUUUUUUACUGCACUUGGAUCCUUGUUAGGUUGGCCUUUUGCAGCCUUACUGGGCGUUCCAAUAGCUUUUGAUAUGUUAUUCAGAAGGAAACUGUACCUGGAUUUUGUAGCAUGGUCUGCAUUAUGUGCUCUAGUCAUUUUAGUACCAAUGGUGGUUGUAGAUUCUAUGCUUUUUGGUAAAUUAAUUAUAGCUCCUGUAAAUAUUGUGCUAUAUAAUGUGUUUGGAGGAGCAGGACCAAAUCUUUAUGGUACUGAACCGUUUACCUUUUAUCUCCUCAACGGUUUUGUAAACUUCAAUUUUGUUUGGAUCUUCGCUUUAUUGAGUCCUAUAGCAAUAACCUUAAACUACUUCUGUGUGCCAGCUAAGAAUAAAUGCACAGUAUACCUACCAUACUGGCUGUCAUUGAGUCCUUUAUAUUUAUGGCUUCUUGUUUUUAUGAUUCAAGAACACAAAGAAGAAAGAUUCCUUUAUCCGGUGUAUCCCCUGAUUUGUCUUAGUGGAGCCAUCACUGUUGAUAUAAUCCAAAAAUUGUGGUUUAGAAUUUUGAACUUCCUGCAGAAAAUGCCUCAAGGGACACAUUACUUGGAUAAGACUAUGUUUAUAAUGUUUAUUAGUAUACUGUUGACUUCUUUACUGGGUAUAUCCAGAAUACUAUCUCUUUAUCGAAACUAUCACGCAUCUAUCGAUUUGAUGAUGGAAUUAAAUAAGUAUCCAGUGGAACAAAAGAUUUCCGAAAGAGCUCAGAUUAAUGUUUGUUAUGGAAAAGAAUGGCACAGAUAUCCCAGUUCCUUCUUUCUGCCAAAUGUUAACUGGAAUAUUAGAUUUAUAAAGUCAGAAUUUGACGGAAUGUUACCGGCGCCUUACUCAGUGGGCGACAACGCUACCAGCAUCGUCCACGAAUACUUCAACGACCAAAAUCGAGAAGCUCCCGAGCUCUACUUCGAUAUUAACAAGUGCCACUUUCUCGUGGACACCGACUUGGGCAAAGAAACCGCACUGGAGCCCAAUUAUGCCAACCAGAAGGACCGAUGGAAAGUGAUUAAGACUCAUCGUUUCCUAAACCAGUCCAAAUCGCAUCCACUUUUUAGGUCGUUUUAUAUUUUGUAUUGGUCUGAUCGGUAUGUCACUUUUAGCAACUUUAGUCUGUUGCAGUCGACUAGAUUAAAAAUAAAAUAACAAACAGCGAAAAAGAAGCUAAAAGAUAAUUAUGGUGUUUUGACAAUAGUACCACAUAUGUUAUGAAUUUAUAAUGUUCAUUUUGGUAAGCUUCGCAAUCUCAAUUCUUCAUACUUUGAUAAUAAAAUUGAUGAAUGGUCGAAAUAUAGGAGAAACAAUUUUUUUCCUAUUAAUUUGUAAGUGAUUAAUUAAAAUAAUUUUUCAAUUCAUAAAUUAUUUUAUUUAUCAUGCCAUUUAUUCUAUUCACUUUUGUUCGUAGGUUUCUCUUUGGCUGUAAUGUUUCUUGUUGGUCAAAGGUUUAAGAUUUUCAGGACAUACAUUUGCUUAAUUUCCACGAGACAGUAUAUAAUUGUAGUAAGUUUAUUUCAUCUCUACGCGGUCGACAGGAUGUCGUUUGAAUAAUUACUGUAAAAAUGGUGUCAUCUUGAUAUUCUACACCAGCUUGCAUAUCGUGCCGUUUCUUCAUACGGUCGCUAGCGAUCUGAAGGUGGAAACGGACCAAUGGCAGCUAAUCUGAAAAGCUCAAAGUAGGUGGCGCUCGUGUAGUUGGAGGUCACGUUAACUUACGUCAACACUUCAAAUCAAUCUAUUUCUUAGUAAAUAUUGCAUAUUUUUUCGCUGUGUGAAUUAAACUUCAGAAAAUAAAAUCCCUCAAUGUUGUGCUGUGCAUUUGGGCUCACCGAGAACAUCAGGACACUGUAUUCUGAUGAGAAAAAAGUGGAUUGUAGCAAUAAGAGGGGAUAAAUAUGUGCCAACAAUAAAUGCACGUAUCUGCAAUAAACAUUUUGUUAAAACAGAUUACGUAUUGCCCCUAGAUUCGACUGUAAAAAAUAGAAUACUUCAUUAUAAAAUUCAGAUCAAAAUUGAUUAUAAACGCAGGGAUUAAGAUAUGCAAUUUUAUAUACAUUCACACUGUUGCCACACAUCUACAAUCGCUUUUUAUGGAGUGAAAAUAUGAAAAAAUUUAUAUUUGAAAUAAUAAUAUAGAAAAAUGUGAAAAUAGGACUUUCGGUGGUGUUUGGCCCGUUGAUUCAUUAACAGUGAUCUGUAGGCCAUUGCGAAGAACUGAAGGUAUUGGUCCCAGUCUCGCUGGUGAUUGGACACCAUCUUUGUCAAAUACUUGCCGACUGUCUUAUUCAUUCGCUCUACCAUUUCAUCCGAUUGCGGGUAAUAAGCUGUAGUCCUUGUCUUCUUUAUGCCUAGUCUAUCACAGAUUCCCUGAAAUACAUCGCUUUCGAAGUUCCUUCUUUGGUUACUAUGGAUCUCCAAAGGCACUCCAAAUCGGCUGAUGUACUCUUUGAUCAACACAUCUGCAAUAGUGGCGGCCUUCUGGUCUGGAAUAGCGUAGAUCUCGGCCCAUUUUGUGAAGUAAUCUAUUACGACCAACAUAUACCUACUUACAAUCAUCUUCACUUUCUGAUAGGAGCCUUUAUUUUCCGGUACGAUCCGUUACUCGUAGCACAAGUAGUACAUUUCUUACACCAGUCCUUUACAUCGUUGGAAUUAUUCAUCCAAUAAAACCGUUCCCGAAUUCUCUGAAGGAUUUUCUUUACACCAAGAUGCCCUCCUAAUGGACUGUCGUGUAACUGACGAAGUACUUCGGCUAUUCUGCUCUUUUGAUUCACCAAUUGUUCUCUCCGCUGAAGCGUCAUCAUUUUCCAAUACUCGUUAAGCAAGCUGUCCUCCAUGAUAAUAGAGUCCCUCUUGGCCCAAUACGGCUUGAUAUUUCUUGCCAAGAUGAUCGACGAUUUUCUUUUGUCCAUUUUCGAAUUUUCUGGAUCUAAAAUUGGCCCAUUCGCCAUUUUAAUUACUUACGACACUAAAACACCAAAAACAGCUGCCCUAGUUCAUGUCUCAAAUAUUUAUAAAUAGUCCAGUCGGGUUAGACGAAUAACAGGCCUAACCUUGCAUUAGGAGUUGCCCCAAAUUUUAUUUUUCUAUUCUUUGGGGGGACGGGGGGGCGGUUAAUAGUAGUGUAAAUUUAAAAUCUCGGCUGAAUUCUGCCGUUGCGUUAGCCGUAAUCUUGAUUUUAAACGAGAACCGUUUUUGCUCAAUAGCUUCGCCAUUUUCAACUUUUCGACAAAAAGUAUAACAACCAAAAUUGUAGAAAAUAUGAUUUUCUAUCAUUUCUAUUCUUACAAAUUUUUCGUGCCGUCGAUAUUUUCCGAGUAAUGGCGGAAAAUAGUGACAGUUAGAGCAUAAUUAUUGAAUUAUCUCGUUUAUUAUUAGUUUUACGACAAAAAUGUUCCAAUACAAAAAUAGAGAGAAUUAAAUUCUACAUAAUUUUGAUUUCUUUCAUUUUUUUGCUAAAGUUAAUAUUUAAGGUAGUACGUAUGCGGUAAUGGCGCGAGCGUAAGACCUGAUGGAUUUUGUAUCAAUUGUUUUUGUUCAAUAUCUACGCCAUUUUCAACUAAAAUUGUUCCAAAUAUGAUUUCCUACAAUUUCUUUUUAACAAUUUUUUCAUGCGGUUGAUAUUUUCCGAGUUAAGUGGGAAAAUAGUAAAAAGUGGUGGGGGGAACAUAAUUACUGAAUUACUUUACCGCAUACGUACUACCUUAAAUAUUGAUUUUAUCAAAAAAUUUAAAGAGAUCAAAAAUGUACAAAAUUUAAUUCUCUUGAUUUUUAUAUAGGUUCAGAUUUGUUGUAAAACUAAUAAUAAACGAGAUAAUUCAAUAAAUCAAUAAUUAUGCUCUAACCAAAGAAUACAGCACCCAACUGCUGGGGUGCUGUAUUCUUUGCUGUAACUGUCACUAUUUUCCCCCCAUAACUCAGAAAAUAUCGACCGCACGAAAAAAAUUAUUAAUCAACGAAAUUAUAGAAAAUCGCAUUUUCAACAAUUUCAGUUUCUACACUUUUUGUUGAGAAUGGCGGAGAUAUUGAGCAAAAACGGUUCUCGUUUAAAAUCAAGAUGGCGGCUAACGCAACGGUCAAAUUCAGUCGAGAUUUUAAAUUUAUACUACUAUUGACCCCCCCUAAAGAUUAGAAAAAUAAAAUCUGGGGCAGCUCGUAAUGCAAGGUCAAAUGCUAUCCCGACUGGGCUAAAAAUCAAGUUAAGUGUUCAAAUGGUCCAAAUACAUUUGUUUAUGGAUGACUAUUGUCAAAACACUCUGUUUAUCUCUAAUUAGUUUAUAAAUGUAGAUUGAUUUGUAACAUAAAUAUGAUAACAUAGUGUAACAAUAAUGAACUGGAUAAUACAGAGCUCUAUACUUCAUUCAGCAAGCGAGGCAAAAGAGGAAGAGAAUCAUAAAAAUAGGUUUGAUAGAAAUAUUUCAAGGCCAACAAGGAUUUAAAUGUCAAUUAUCACAGUAUUAUGAGAAUGCUUUGAGUCAACCAAUUGACAAAAGAUUAAUUUAAACGAUUCUUCUUUAGUUCCAACUGGAUCUACUGUUUCUUGUUAAGUGUUGUCAACUAGUUCUUUUUGGUCAAAGCAACCUUUAUUUUAUUAUAUUAUAUUUAUAUAUAUUUUAGUAUAUUAGUGUACCAAUGCGAUUUCUGUAAACUUUCUCACCUGGUAUGAGUGGAAAUACUUAAAUCACAGGAUUUGUGUUUUGAUUUCUAAUCGUCACUUCAUCCGGUCAUUCCAUAGGUUCUCUUAUAGGUUUCUUUCUCUAAGCUUUAUGUCUUUUCAUUCUCCCCAUCUUGUUCUCGGUCUACCUUGUUUUCUCUUACCUUCUGAUUGCCCUUUUAGUGUUUCCUUUGGUAUUCGUUUUCAUCCAUUCGUGUACCAUUCCUCUUCAUGUACCAUUUACUAGAUCUAUACUGAUUCGUUGAAAUACUCUACCUAGCUAGGUGGAAUGAAGUAUAUCGUCUUGCCACACUCCAACUUUUACACAAUAAAACAUAUUUUCGUUUGCUACGUACGUUAUAGAACUUUACCAUUGUGAUAUCACCAUUUUUUUUAAUAUUUAGGCUACCCAAAUGUAUAAUGGUUUUUUUAAAAGUAGCUCUAAAAGACUGACAGAGUUAUAGAGUACCAAAAUGUGAACUAUAAGUUCAAAAGUACUGUUAGCUUUGAAUGAGAUUAAUAAUUGAAAAUAAAUAUUAAUAAGAAGGGUAAAUAUAAAAUUAUUGUUAUGUGCAAUUUUUGUUACUUUUUUUUCAUACAACUUUUGUAUGUUUUGUUAAUAAAUGUUAUUCGACAGUGA
rnacentral:misc_RNA from 1 species